rnacentral:rRNA from 1 species
AACGAACGCUGGCGGCAGGCUUAACACAUGCAAGUCGAACGCCCCGCAAGGGGAAUGGCAGACGGGUGAGUAACGCGUGGGAAUCUACCUAGUUCUACGGAACAACAGUUGGAAACGACUGCUAAUACCGUAUACGCCCUAUGGGGGAAAGAUUUAUCGGAAUUAGAUGAGCCCGCGUAAGAUUAGCUAGUUGGUGAGGUAAUGGCUCACCAAGGCGACGAUCUUUAGCUGGUCUGAGAGGAUGAUCAGCCACACUGGGACUGAGACACGGCCCAGACUCCUACGGGAGGCAGCAGUGGGGAAUAUUGGACAAUGGGCGCAAGCCUGAUCCAGCCAUGCCGCGUGAGUGAUGAAGGCCUUAGGGUUGUAAAGCUCUUUCAGUAGGGAAGAUAAUGACGGUACUGUAAGAAUAAGGAUCGGCUAACUCCGCGCCAGCCGCCGCUGUAAGAC